AUGAGGCAACUUAUAUACAAAAAAUGGAAACAAUACAAACUUGGUACCAACACCGAAAGUUAUGAAAUGUGGUAUGAACACUGAAUUAAGAUUACUGGCGGACGUGAGUAAACAUACCCAUUUGUGAUUUUGGAAUUCGCGUCCUUCGGAUCGUCCUAACCCUGACAAAGUUAUACAGUUAUAUUUACUGGUCAGUCUUAUUUCGGUAUGUCAACGUACUGUGGGAAAGAAGAUCGAAGUGAUACAGAUCUUAGGCGUUUACAUUAACGGAACCUAUGUAUGACGAUGCCAAACCAAUGAUCAUGAUCUAGGAUUCGAACCUGUCCAUAUGAUCCAGGCUCGUUCAAUGGUUAGUCUUCGUUGUUUUCAGUUAAGAAAGCCCCGUGGUGCCACGUAUGUAGCAUAAACGAUAUUAGUUAAUUUCAAGUUUAAUUAACACUCGAAAUAUGCUUUUUUAAAAAUAUCUUUGUUUUUUCUCGUCACUUCGAUUAUAUUUUGUUAUUUUCGAUGAUUUUCUCCAUCCAAAACACUCCAAAUGCUAUUUUUUAAUCUUUUCUUCGAUUUAUUUCUCGUUACCUCCAGUUUCAAUAAAAAACACGAAUUUUCAAGUAUUUUCUUAUUGCCUCGAAUAUUUCUCGCUAAAUUCAAGUUGUUGUUAAUGUUGUUACAAUCAGUCAUAACGUUUGCCAGUCAUAUGUUUUGUUACACUGUAUCCCCAGCGGUUUCAUUAGUGUCCGUAUCUUGGAUCCAUAUGACGGGGCGAUGAAAACGCAUUUAGAAAAGGUAACCGUGUUUCAUAUAAAAUCGUGUAAAUAUUAUUUUACUGAAAAUAUCACAAACAGGAAACAGAGGCUCGCUUCCUGAAUGAUUGGUGGUCAAUACCAGAUGAGACCAACAUAUGAUUUGAUACAGAAGGCGCUACAGCGGCGUUGCAAUUGAAGACAAAUAUGAUACAAAACCGCGUAGAGAAUGUCCCAAAUGUCAACCAAAUGUUAUCCGAACAGAGCUAGCGUUACCGGCAGGUUCCGAUCUCAUCCCAGACACGUUCUAUGGAAGGGAGGAACAGUCGGCGUUGGCGGCACAGCAAUCUUAUACUGCCUCAAAAAGUCCUGUACAAGCCUGCAUAUCCUGGGUGGGCAGUUUCGUGCUGCAACGUUGGUUACGUCCCUACAUGCCUUACGACGACGAUUAAGGGACAUGUUCUCCCCUUGGUGCCUUGUACACCUGUAGAGCUUCUCCGGCCACCAGAGCUCUUCACAUGGAACCUGAACUCAUCUGUGAACGGCAUACUGUCACAGCCCUUAACAUCAUAUGCUGCCUUCAUCAAGCUUGGGGCGCUUGACUUCCACGUGAAGGCGUAAUUUGGCUGAUCGCAUCAUCGUCUUGACCGGAAGUUGUGCCCCAUCAACUUUAAAAGUCGAGAGAUGUCUUAUGGAAUAUAUGUUGAAAGACACGUGUGUUUUUAUUGAACUUCAUAUCAUAGUUACUUUGUUUGCAUUUGUAUGUGUUAAUCUCUUCUUAAGAAAAAUACUGAUUACUUAAAUCAUUCCAAUUUCAAAUGAAAGAUGAAUAAAUAGAAACGACAAACUACUUUCCAUAGUCGUAAGAAAUCUCCGCUAACAGCAGGGUCGAUUCCGACUUUAUUAUGGGCAUAUUUUUACGAAUCAAUGGCCGAUAGUCAGGAUACCAGUGAUGGAAAGAUCAUUAUGCAUUUUCAGAAUAGAUAUAUAUUUAUUGUACUUCAUAUGAAGCACAGUUACGUUUUCUCUUGGUAUUUAUACUACCCAAAGUUUGCUAAGAAUACACUUUUGGUGAUGUCAACAAAUUAUCCAACAAAUAAAAAUUGAAAUAUCCGGGAAUUCGGCAAUGCUCUUACUGAAGAGAGGAAAAAUCGUCCCUUUGCAAUCAUCCAGACUGGGAGCAUGAGACGGUGCCAGCCUGUGAUCGGUGUCAGCCUAUUACACUGGCGCUACUCAGGGGCUUUGUAUUUGUCAUAUAUGUUGCUUGUGUCACGUGACAACGGACCUCGGCUAUUUCAACGGAUGCACACAAUUUGACGCAUUAGCUUAGUUGAUGUUUAGCAAACUCUGAGUAGUAUAUGACGAUCAAAGUUCAUCGCAACUCUGAUAAUUUUAUCACAAGGCAAUCUGGUACUGUGGUGGCAUGCCUGAAAUAUUUUAUGUCCGCAUCUUUGAAUGUUUGCAAACACUACUUUCUGUUUGCCCUAUCAAUUACCUUUGACAACACACUAAUAGUAUUUAGGAACGGGAAUAUUUGUCAUUUAUUUCAGCUUACAGUAUAUUUUUGACGUACAUGAGUGAUGUCUGUUUCCUAGAUCAUGGUUAUGUUUAUAAGCUAUACAAUAUCAAAAUAUAUUUAUAUAUGUUUACUGAUAAAUAUACUCGAGCUGGUCCUCUAAGCUAUGUAUACUUGGCACGGGACAGGCUGUUACGACGUAAAUUUUAAUAAAACGUAAAUUGUAAUACUUGCAGCAAAUUGUAACACAGGCACUUCAUAGCCCGCGUCGCCAAAAUGUUGUAACGUUAAAGGGUUUGUGUAUGUCUGUUGAAAUGUGGAUAUGUAAAUAAUGUUUUCUAACAACAUUAAGCAUUGAGCUUCAAACAAAACACUCCUUCGUGAGAUCCCAAAAUGGCAAUAUUUUUUCGUUUCUUUUUGAGCUCACAUUCAGCUUUUGCUAAAUGGUUAAGUUUUCGAAGAGCCUUCCUAUCAUUUAACGUCAUAUUAACAGAAUGUCAUUCUUGAUCCGCAAGACAUCCAACAGAAGUAGCUUCAGAGGCGAAGUAAGCGUUCACUAGAUGAAGCGGGCGUAUAAUACUGGCCGAUCCAGGCGUGUAACGAGGGAGAGGGUUGUUCCCACUAUAUUCUGGUUGAGAGAGAGCUAAAUUCAAACCAAACUCUGUCGUGGUUUAUACUUGGACUCCAUUUUAGGUCGUGUGCUCUGGAGGUGGUUGAAUAUGUAUGUACGCAGAAUGCCAAUGUCCAAUAUUUUAUGUCACUUCGUGUAAUCGCAGGCAUGCAUUGAGUAUGAGUUGUUGGUUGUUCUGGUGAUGAAGGAGUCGUCAGUCACAUUUAAACGGGGGAUUGUCCAAAGCGCGUAUUGUCCAUAGUGUGGGGUUGAAAUUUUUUUAGCAAUGCAGAAAUACAAUGCCCAUUUGUAGAAACUUGAAGUUCAGUUUGAAUUAGUGUUGAUUGUCCAAUUUUAAUCAAUUCUUCAUCCAUCCCACCAACUAAUCCAUUCCCCUUCAUUCAUCCCAACAACUACCUUUCGUCAUCCACCCCACCAACUAAUCCAUUCUUUAUCCAUCCCACCAACUAAUCCAUUAAGUCAUCCACCCCACCAAC
rnacentral:lncRNA from 1 species